ACGUAGGGGCCUAGCGUUGUCCGGAAUUAUUGGGCGUAAAGAGCUCGUAGGCGGUUCGGCAAGUCGGAUGUGAAAUCUCCACGCUUAACGUGGAGGGGCCAUUCGAAACUGCUGUGACUCGAGUCCGGUAGGGGAGUGUGGAAUUCCCGGUGUAGCGGUGAAAUGCGCAGAUAUCGGGAGGAACACCAGUAGCGAAGGCGGCACUCUGGGCCGGUACUGACGCUGAGGAGCGAAAGCGUGGGGAGCGAACAGGA
rnacentral:rRNA from 1 species